AGGCUUAACACAUGCAAGUCGAGGGGCAGCAUGGUCUUAGCUUGCUAAGGCCGAUGGCGACCGGCGCACGGGUGAGUAACACGUAUCCAACCUGCCGUCUACUCUUGGACAGCCUUCUGAAAGGAAGAUUAAUACAAGAUGGCAUCAUGAGUCCGCAUGUUCACAUGAUUAAAGGUAUUCCGGUAGACGAUGGGGAUGCGUUCCAUUAGAUAGUAGGCGGGGUAACGGCCCACCUAGUCUUCGAUGGAUAGGGGUUCUGAGAGGAAGGUCCCCCACAUUGGAACUGAGACACGGUCCAAACUCCUACGGGAGGCAGCAGUGAGGAAUAUUGGUCAAUGGGCGAGAGCCUGAACCAGCCAAGUAGCGUGAAGGAUGACUGCCCUAUGGGUUGUAAACUUCUUUUAUAAAGGAAUAAAGUCGGGUAUGGAUACCCGUUUGCAUGUACUUUAUGAAUAAGGAUCGGCUAACUCCGUGCCAGCAGCCGCGGUAAUACGGAGGAUCCGAGCGUUAUCCGGAUUUAUUGGGUUUAAAGGGAGCGUAGAUGGAUGUUUAAGUCAGUUGUGAAAGUUUGCGGCUCAACCGUAAAAUUGCAGUUGAUACUGGAUAUCUUGAGUGCAGUUGAGGCAGGCGGAAUUCGUGGUGUAGCGGUGAAAUGCUUAGAUAUCACGAAGAACUCCGAUUGCGAAGGCAGCCUGCUAAGCUGCAACUGACAUUGAGGCUCGAAAGUGUGGGUAUCAAACAGGAUUAGAUACCCUGGUAGUCCACACGGUAAACGAUGAAUACUCGCUGUUUGCGAUAUACUGCAAGCGGCCAAGCGAAAGCGUUAAGUAUUCCACCUGGGGAGUACGCCGGCAACGGUGAAACUCAAAGGAAUUGACGGGGGCCCGCACAAGCGGAGGAACAUGUGGUUUAAUUCGAUGAUACGCGAGGAACCUUACCCGGGCUUAAAUUGCAGAUGAAUUACGGUGAAAGCCGUAAGCCGCAAGGCAUCUGUGAAGGUGCUGCAUGGUUGUCGUCAGCUCGUGCCGUGAGGUGUCGGCUUAAGUGCCAUAACGAGCGCAACCCUUGUUGUCAGUUACUAACAGGUUCCGCUGAGGACUCUGACAAGACUGCCAUCGUAAGAUGUGAGGAAGGUGGGGAUGACGUCAAAUCAGCACGGCCCUUACGUCCGGGGCUACACACGUGUUACAAUGGGGGGUACAGAGGGCCGCUACCACGCGAGUGGAUGCCAAUCCCAAAAACCUCUCUCAGUUCGGACUGGAGUCUGCAACCCGACUCCACGAAGCUGGAUUCGCUAGUAAUCGCGCAUCAGCCACGGCGCGGUGAAUACGUUCCCGGGCCUUGUACACACCGCCCGUCAAGCCAUGGGAGCCGGGGGUACCUGAAGUGCGUAACCGCGGGGAGCGCCCUAGGGUAAAACUGGUGACUGGGGCU
rnacentral:rRNA from 1 species